CGAGUCCUCAACUGACGCUAAUGCUCGAAAGUGCGGGUAUCGAACAGGAUUAGAUACCCUGGUAGUCCGCACGGUAAACGAUGGAUGCCCGCUGUUGGCGAUAUAUUGUCAGCGGCCAAGCGAAAGCGUUAAGCAUCCCACCUGGGGAGUACGCCGGCAACGGUGAAACUCAAAGGAAUUGACGGGGGCCCGCACAAGCGGAGGAACAUGUGGUUUAAUUCGAUGAUACGCGAGGAACCUUACCCGGGCUUGAACUGCAGCAGAACGAUAGAGAGAUCUUGAGGCCCUUCGGGGCUGCUGUGGAGGUGCUGCAUGGUUGUCGUCAGCUCGUGCCGUGAGGUGUCGGCUUAAGUGCCAUAACGAGCGCAACCCCUUCCGUCAGUUGCCAUCACUUUGGGUGGGCACUCUGGCGGUACUGCCACCGUAAGGUGUGAGGAAGGUGGGGAUGACGUCAAAUCAGCACGGCCUUUACGUCCGGGGCUACACACGUGUUACAACGGGUGGUACAGAGAGUCAACCGCCGGCAACGUCGGUUUAAUCAAUAAAGCCAUCCUCAGUUCGGAUUGGGAUCUGCAACCCGACCCCAUGAAGCUGGAUUCGC
rnacentral:rRNA from 1 species